rnacentral:rRNA from 1 species
AUGCAAGUCGAAGAAGGAUUGGCCGGGGUGCUGCCGGCUGGCGUCAAGUUUGAUCCCAUGGAUCAGGAGCUGAUCGAGCACCUUGAGGCUAAAGUGAGUGCUGACAGCGCGAGAUCUCACCCUCUCAUCGAUUUGUUCAUACCAAUCAUCGGCAGCGAGCACGGCAUAUGCUACACCCGUCCUGAGAAACUUCCAGGUAUCACACUGAGUGGCCUAAGCAAGCAUUUCUUCCAGCGCAAUUCCAGGGCGUUCAAAAGGGCACAUGGACGCGUCAAAACAUACAGUCGGAGUGCGGCAUGCACGCGAUGUGGCACAACACCGGCAAUGGUCAACGGUCGGCAGAAGGGCAGCAAAAAGGUUCUGGUGCUGCACACCAACAAGAACUUCGACCAACAGAGGACCAACUGGGUGAUGCACCAGUACCACCUCGGGGACCUGGAGCAAGAGAAGGAGCGGGAGCUGGUCCUCUGCAAGAUUUUCUACUAG